rnacentral:rRNA from 1 species
AACGAACGCUGGCGGCAUGCCUAACACAUGCAAGUCGAACGAGACCUUCGGGUCUAGUGGCGCACGGGUGCGUAACGCGUGGGAAUCUGCCCUUGGGUUCGGAAUAACAGUGAGAAAUUACUGCUAAUACCGGAUGAUGACGUAAGUCCAAAGAUUUAUCGCCCAAGGAUGAGCCCGCGUAUGAUUAGCUAGUUGGUGGGGUAAAGGCCUACCAAGGCGACGAUCUUUAGCUGGUCUGAGAGGAUGAUCAGCCACACCUGGGGACUGAGACACGGCCCAGACUCCUACGGGAGGCAGCAGUGGGGAAUAUUGGACGAAUGGGCGAAAAGGCCUGAUCCAGCAAUGCCGCGUGAGUGAUGAAGGCCUUAGGGUUGUAAGACUCUUUUACCAGGGUAUGAUAAUGACAGUACCUGGAGAAU